UGGGGAGGUGCGCGCGACCGGCGGCGAGGCGCCAUCUUGGGGAAGUGGCGUCGUUGCGGCGUGAGUGGAAAAAUAUGCCAUCUGGUAUUCUUCCUUUGGUGCAAGAGUUACUCUUGAUGGAACCUUUUGAUAAAAUAAUGUGACGUGUUUUUGGAUGUACUGGAGCAGGAAUUGUUUCCAUAGUUUGUGGAGAAGUUGGGCGCUGCUUCUGUUUGGUGUUUGAAAGGAAGGAAUGUCAGCACUGUGAAACAGCUGGGGUUUUGGGUUGUUAUGUUACUGUCACGUUCAGGGCUGGAUGGAGGCAUUGCAUGGAGGCAUUUUGAUAAACUCAUCCAGGUCACCUGAGCAUGCUGCUUACAACUCCUCCGUCAGCUCUCCCAGCUGGGUGUGAUGCGGGCUGCUCGACAGAGAGAUACUUUCUGGAUUUAUCCUGAACGAGAAGUGGAAUUGUUGAGUUAAUGCCCAGGAAGCAGCCCUUCUCCCCAGUGCUACACCCUGCAGCCCAGGAGGCCUUCACACACACGGUAAGAAAGCCUCUCUUCUUUGUUUCCAAGCUGAGCUCUGAGUGCAAGCAUUUAGUAGCAUUUAAAUGAAUUCUAUGCAAAAGUUGUCUGUUUUUCAGCUUUCAGUCUGAAGUUGUGUGAAUUGUGGCCACAGUGUGAAUUUAAGGCUUUAGUGCCUACGUUGGUGAAUGACGGAGUUUCAGAACAUAGCUCAGUGUUGAAGCAUUUUAGAGACUAUGCCAACAGUAAUGACUUUAUAAUUAAUGAUAAUCUUCAUAAUUUAUCUGGGACAGUGGCAAAAAUAAGUGAUCUACCUGUGUGUUAAUGGCUGCAGAAUAUGCGGGUGUGUUCCGUCCAAAUACGUUUUUGCAAGGAGAGGCUUUGUUGUGGGUCUGUCACUGUCCUGGGAGGGUAAUUUCUGAAAAUAGGGGGUACAAAUGCAAAUUUGUGCUUAAAAAUAUUGAAGCAAGCAUGUGCAUUAGCUCAUUUCUUGCUACUGUGUAUUUUUUCUACAGUAAGUUCACUUAUGAUGUAGAUGGUAUAAUUUAAUUCUGUUGUAUUCAAGUUUAUGAGAAUACAAGUUUUAGUCUUCAUUAUGUAGAACGAAGUAUGCUUUGCUUCUCUGACAUCCAUGCUGUGGUGGCACACUCGAAUUUUGGCAAAAAUAACUCUCACCAAAAUAACUAUUAAUUUGUACCCCCAGAUGAAUGCUGUGGUGGGGACAAAGGUCUUUACGUAAUAGCACAGGCAGAUUUCAGGGAUCACUGCAGCAAGCUGUAAAUGAUGUAUGAAAUGAAAACUUCCCAGCUGAUGCACAGUGAGCGCAGUUAUUGUGCUCUACGCAGUCGCUGCUGCGAGAGGCUCUUUGUUCCAAUACCACCUCAGGCACGUGCCAGCCCUUAAUGAAGAAAACUCUUAUGCUUGUAUUUGAAAGCAUUAAGUCCUUAAGAGUAACACUAAAGUGUUAGAAAAAUCUCUUAAGAUACUGUAUCAGUAAGUAUCCCACGGAAGUUUCCUGGCUGUUUGUAUGUUUGUUUGGGCAUAAAUAUCAUUACUUUACAGUAAUGAACUUGCCAUAGAUAGAAUGUUUCAUAAAAACUAUUCCUUCCUUUACUACUAAGAAUAUGUU
ensembl:lncRNA